UACUGAUUUCAAUCCAUUUC
rnacentral:snRNA from 1 species